AUUCACUAGUGAUUAAACUCAAACGGAAUUGACGGGGACCCGCACAAGCGGUGGAGCAUGUGGUUUAAUUCGAUGCUACGCGAAAAACCUUACCAACCCUUGACAUACCGGUCGCGAGGAUCAGAGAUGAACCUCUUCAGCUCGGCUGGACCGGAUACAGGUGUUGCAUGGCUGUCGUCAGCUCGUGUCGUGAGAUGUUGGGUUAAGUCCCGCAACGAGCGCAACCCUUGUUCUUAGUUACCAACAGGUCAUGCUGGGCACUCUAAGAAUACUGCCGGUGAUAAGCCGGAGGAAGGUGGGGACGACGUCAAGUCAUCAUGGCCCUUACGGGUUGGGCUACACACGUGCUACAAUGGCGGUGACAAUGGGUAGCCAAAGGGUAACCUGGAGCUAAUCCUCAAAAGCCGUCUCAGUUCGGAUUGAAGUCUGCAACUCGACUUCAUGAAGUCGGAAUCGCUAGUAAUCGUGGAUCAGCAUGCCACGGUGAAUACGUUCACGGGUCUUGUACACACUGCCCGUCACGCCAUGGGAGUUGGUUCUACCUGAAGCCGGUGGGCUAACCGCAAGGAAGCAGCCGUCCACGGUAGGGUCAGCGACUGGGGUGAAGUCGUAACAAGGUAGCCGUAGAAU
rnacentral:rRNA from 1 species